GACGGAGGAUGCAAGCGUUAUCCGGAAUGAUUGGGCGUAAAGCGUCCGCAGGUGGCAGUUCAAGUCUGCUGUCAAAGACCGGGGCUUAACUUCGGAAAGGCAGUGGAAACUGAACAGCUAGAGUAUGGUAGGGGCAGAGGGAAUUCCUGGUGUAGCGGCGAAAUGCGUAGAGAUCAGGAAGAACAUCGGUGGCGAAGGCGCUCUGCUGGACCAUAACUGACACUCAGGGACGAAAGCUAGGGGAGCGAAUGGG
rnacentral:rRNA from 1 species